ACGCAACGCCGCGUGGGGGAUGAAGGUCUUCGGAUUGUAAACCCCUGUCGAACGGGACGAAAGACCCGGGAGCUAAUCAUCCUGGGAGUGACGGUACCGUUAAAGGAAGCCACGGCUAACUCUGUGCCAGCAGCCGCGGUAAUACAGAGGUGGCAAGCGUUGUUCGGAAUUACUGGGCGUAAAGGGCGCGUAGGCGGCCAUCUAAGUCAGACGUGAAAUCCCCCGGCUUAACCUGGGAACUGCGUCUGAUACUGGACGGCUCGAGUUUGGGAGAGGGAUGUGGAAUUCCAGGUGUAGCGGUGAAAUGCGUAGAUAUCUGGAGGAACACCGGUGGCGAAGGCGGCAUCCUGGACCAACACUGACGCUGAGGCGCGAAAGCUAGGGGAGCAAACGGGAUUAGAUACCCCGGUAGUCCUAGCCCUAAACGAUGAAUGCUUGGUGUGGCGGGUAUCGAUCCCUGCCGUGCCGAAGCUAACGCAUUAAGCAUUCCGCCUGGGGAGUACGGUCGCAAGGCUGAAACUCAAAGGAAAUGACGGGGGCCCGCACAAGCGGUGGAGCAUGUGGUUCAAUUCGACGCAACGCGAAGAACCUUACCUGGGCUCGAAAAUGCAGAUGACAACCGAUGAAAAUCGGCUCCCGCAAGGGCGUCUGUAUAGGUGCUGCAUGGCUGUCGUCAGCUCGUGUCGUGAGAUGUUGGGUUAAGUCCCGCAACGAGCGCAACCCUCGUCCUCUGUUGCCAUCAGGUCAAGCUGGGCACUCUGAGGAGACUGCCGGUGAUAAACCGGAGGAAGGUGGGGAUGACGUCAAGUCAGCAUGGCCUUUAUGUCCAGGGCCACACACGUGCUACAAUGGCGGAUACAAAGCGCUGCAAACCCGCGAGGGUGAGCCAAUCGCAUAAAGUCCGUCUCAGUUCGGAUUGCAGGCUGCAACUCGCCUGCAUGAAGUUGGAAUCGCUAGUAAUCGCGGAUCAGCAUGCCGCGGUGAAUACGUUCCCGGGCCUUGUACACACCGCCCGUCACAUCACGAAAGCUGGCUGUACUAGAAGUAGCUUCGCUAACCCGCAAGG
rnacentral:rRNA from 1 species